CUCUGUUGUUUCCGAAACUCUGAGAGAACCGUGACACUCCUUGAUUACGUUAAAAGACUCGGUGGUCCUUGCUAGUGACAUAGUGGAGCGAUCCUGAAGAAGAGCCGGUUUCCGCAACGACAUGCUAUUUCCUCUAAAACCAUUUUAUGAGAAUAUUCACUUUAUCCUCCUUCUAAGGGAUUCUGACGAAGCCCCGUGUUUUGGAUAAGCAGUGACAGAGUGAGAGUAUUCUUCUAAGCGAGCUUCGUCACUGGAGAUUUGUACCGGCUCGAGAACCUGGUUGGUU
rnacentral:lncRNA from 1 species